rnacentral:misc_RNA from 1 species
UUGAAUAAACUUGGUUGGGUUGAUGCUGGCUCCUAGGAGCAUGUGCACGCUCACUCCAUUUUUAACCACCUGUGCACCUUGUGUAGAUCUGAACAACUCUCGGGGAAACUCGGUUAGAGGAUUGCUGUGUAACAACUAGCUUUCCUUGAGUUCAGAUCUAUGUCUUUAUAUAUACCCCAUAAGAAUGUAUCAGAAUGUAAUUGAUAGGCGCUUGCAGCCUUUAAAAUCAAAUA